rnacentral:rRNA from 1 species
AUUGAACGCUGGCGGCAGGCCUAACACAUGCAAGUCGAGCGGUAGCAGGCCUUCGGGCGCUGACGAGCGGCGGACGGGUGAGGAACACGUAGGAAUCUGCCUUGUAGUGGGGGAUAGCCCAGAGAAAUUUGGAGUAAUACCGCAUAUGCCCUGAGGGGGAAAGUGGGGGACCGAAAGGCCUCACGCUAUGAGAGGAGUCUGCGUCGGAUUAGCUAGUUGGUGGGGUAAGAGCCCACCAAGGCGACGAUCCGUAGCUGGUCUGAGAGGAUGAUCAGCCACACUGGGACUGAGACACGGCCCAGACUCCUACGGGAGGCAGCAGUGGGGAAUAUUGGACAAUGGGCGAAAGCCUGAUCCAGCCAUGCCGCGUGUGUGAAGAAGGCCU